GGCACGAUGGGAUAUGAGGCCUGUCUGCCCGCACCGCGCGCAGCCAUAACGUGGGAGCAGGAGGAGGCGAGACGCGGGGUGGGGGGGGAAGGACUCUCUUUCCCAUGAUACUCCGCGCGCGCAGCCAUGGCGGGCGGGAGACUACAUCUCCCGUGAUCCCCCGCGCGAUGGGCAGCAUGGAGCCAAACGUGGCUGCGCUGGAGAGGCGGGUCCGCGGUUGCCUGUGCGACUUCGGCUUCGAGGUUUCUCCCCUCAAGGUUGGGUGGUACAAUGCUGUUCUUCAGCCGUCCUUUCACCUCCAAUACUCCGAGGACACCCUGGCAUUCAUUGUCCUCAGCACCCCCUCAAUGUUUGACAGAGCCUUUAAACCCUUUGUAGACAAACAGCUGCUGAAAAAAAUCAAUGACCCAGUGGAUCAAUGCGUUUCUUAUCAUCUGUCGCUCGUGAAGGAGAGUCUCCCUAACCAGAGGGUGGACAUCAUCUAUGAUUAUGAGAUCCUGCCAAACCGGAAGCCCAAGUUUCUGGCCCAGACAGCUGCCCAUGUGGCUGGAGCAGCAUAUUACUACCAGAGGAAGGAUGUGAGGUGUGAUCCCUGGGGAGAAAAGAAGAUCUAUGGCGUUUGUAUCCAUCCCCGGUAUGGAGGCUGGUUUGCUAUCCGAGGUCUCCUCAUAUUCCCAGAUGUUCAGGUGCCAUUCCUGGAGCAGGUUGCCCCUGUUGAUUGUGUGGCCUCGGAGGAGAAGCGAAUAGAGCUGCUGGAGAAAUUCAAUUUCCACUGGCGGGACUGGAGCUAUAGGGACAUCAUUGAAGUGAAGGAACGGUACUCGGAGGAGCAGAAAGCCUACUUUGGAGCUCCUCCAGCAGAGAGAUUCAAACUGCUAGAGGUGCAGGGAGUUGUCCAGAGAAGUGCGUACUGCUGAGUAACAUGGUUCCGAGUGUGGGGCAGGGAAUGAACAGAGUGCCCUCAUUCUCCAUAGCGGUUAUGAAGGAGUGGCAGAUCCCACAUGAAUCAGUACUGGGUUUACAAUGGCACCAUGGUGCUGGGCCCCCACUCAAAAGGUGCCCCAGCCUGGCACAGCCCGCUCCACUUUUGCUGCGCCUGGAGCACCUGGUUUCUCUCUCCCUCCUCCCCCCACCGCUCGCUCCUCUCGGCCCACUGAGGGGUCCUCUCUGCCCCCGUCACCAGCAGGCUGCUGCCGGCAGAGCCAGGGGCAGAGAGGAGCCCUCAGCUGCUGCCGCUCCAGCUGGGCCAGUGACCAUCCACUUUGGGCUCCCCGGGAGCGGGGCCUGCCUCUCCCUGCCACUCUGCAGAAGCGACCGUCUUGGGAAGUUGGAGGCUGCCUCGCCCCCCGACCCAUGCAAGGAAAUGCCUCCUCAACCACAAGCACCAUCAGUGCAAGCAGGAACGUGGAGGGUGCCCUGCAUGUUGCUGGUAAUUUGUGCUACGGUUCUGCAUUGUCUGGUACCCAGACCCUAAGCUGUCCUUCAGUAGAAGACUUUGCCAUAGGUCAAAAUGAGUUUUGCUCUAAAGAGAGCAGUCAGUUUGCUCACCAGCUGGGUUGCUUGGUUCAAAAAGUCCUCUGUCUUUGCGGCUCAUCCUGCUUGUGUGUUACUCUUCUUCCUGAGACCCUCCCGCCCAGGUCAUGCACAGCUGAUAUUAAUGUGCUCAGCCUAGGUCCUUUCACAGCAGGGCUACAAGCUUCAGUGCCUUUCUGCCCUUCUUCACACAGCCUAGGAGAGUUGGAGCGUUCCAGUUCCCAAUAGCGUCUGCUUCAUAAAUCACUUUCGUUCAGUCACUGUGAGCUCUACCUACACCAGUGCACCUAAUGCCACCCUAUAGCAAACCAAACCCUCGCUCACAUUGGAGGUGAAGGUGUGUCCAUGGCAUAGACGUCAUGAGGAGCCCUACCAAUUUCAGGGCCCAGAUUGAACAGCCCAAGUGGGCAAAGUAUGGGGCUGGCAGACAGGGACUCCCAAGUUCUAACCAUAGCUCUGCCAUCAGCUCUCUUGCACACCUUCAGACAGGUCACUUUACCUGCCUCUGUACCUGACUUCCCCAGCUGUAAAUUUGGGAAAUAUCCCAGGCUCUUCCAAAGGGGAGCGAUAAUCUUUGCCACUAGUUUUUGAAAUGAUACUAACCUUAUUACAAGGUAACAUUUGACACAGUAAUAUACUGUGGCAUAUAGCUUAGCAGUGACCUUAAGUGGAUACUGUUAUGAUCAUUUGCUUUAUGGGCUUUUAUUACAACACUAAUUUCUAUGAAGUUUAUAGGCAAGAUUGGAAUUGCAGAUAACAAGUUCUUAGUCAGUUUUUUGCAUACGUGGUUUAGUCCGAGAUUGCGUAAACUAUCGUUUGCCUUGGACCCUUCAUUACUUUAGCUUUCUACAAGAAAAACAGACAGGUCUGGUGGCUGUAGUUGAUUGUUACAAAGUAAUUAUGAAUAUACUUCCUGGUGAGCUUCAAGAGACACUAGAAGCAACUUGGAAUCAUUCCGCAUAUUUGGAGUUAUUGUUACAUUAAUAUAUUUGCAUAUGUCAGAGCAAUUUGGCUAUGACUAAUCGUUGUGUGGUUGUGGGAUUAUGAGUAUUUAAAUUCUAAAUUUCUGACUUCAAAAUUACUUCUGGUUGAACUGUUACAAAUGGUCCUUCUAUUUGUGGAUUGGGAUACAACUGCCUUGGAAUAUAAUAAUGGCUCAUAUUAAAGGAACCACAUUAGUAUGCAGACACCCUCCCAGAAUAAUAUGGAAAGGAAUUAGAUACAUUUACCACUUGUGAUCAGACUUUGGUUUAUUGUUUGAGUUGUUAUCCGUUUGCCCAUGUUGAACUCUUUGUGUUGAAAUUAAUUCAAUAAAUAGUAAUGCUGUCAUAUGCA